rnacentral:lncRNA from 1 species
CAUAGUUUAGGGUAGCAUGUUCUGAACCCCAUCAAUUUCCCCUUAAAGUGGUUGUUUUUUGAACUUUACAUAACAGUAACUUCUUGAGAAGAUGGUCAUGUAUUUACGUAUAUAUUUGGGACACUCUUUUCUCAGAGCCUUUGAAACACCUGCAACUACCAGAGGAGUUUUUUUUUUUUUGAAACGGAGUCUCCCUCUGUCGCCUAGGCUGGAGUGCAGUGGCGUGACCUCGGCUCACUGCAACCCAGAGGUGUCAGUUCUUACAGGUUCCUUACACAGCAUGAGUUUGAAGCUUAGGGUAUUGAUUGGCCCUGCCUGAAGCGUUAGUGAGAAACCGUGGGCUUUGAACCUCGGCAGGGCUGUGAACCAAGAGCAGAUGCUGCAGUUCUUCUCCUCAAGGCCUCCAAAAAAGCGUCAUGAGAAAUAAAGGAACUGUGCAGCCAGGGGCAAAAUGCCUCCCGCAACUCCAGGGGCGCCAUUCACAGGAAGCCAGCGUGGACGCCCCUGUGCAGGCCUCUGGGAGCAAGAAAGCUUUUUUCCAAGAUAUGGGGAUGGACAAUUUUCCUGAGGCGCAGACCUUAGGGAGCUUCCCGGGAGAAAGGCUGUUUCCUGUCUUGGGCGUGGAAGCGGAUCCGCCCCCUGAGUCUGAGAGGACAUGGCGGUCGGUAAACAGGACUUAAUUCUGUUCCUCAUCCACCCAGAACCCUCCCUGAGGGCCUCCCCUGCACUUUGGAAACAGCCCAAGCUUUGAAAUCAGGAAGUUUGAAGACUGGUUCUGCUACUUCCAGGCUGUGUGGCCUUGGAUGCCGUGCCUGCGUUUGUGCGGUUGAAGGAAAGGAGGAAAAUGAGAAGGGCCAAGAUUGACCUGACUUGAUUUACGGGAAAGAAGAGACAGUUGCUGGAGGAAGAAGGACCCAUCCACUGGAAAAGGAUGAGAAAAAGGAGAGAGAGAGAAGUCAGAGGCUGGGUUGGGAGUGAAUUUGGGAGAUUGUGGAGGAAAAGAGGAGAGAGAUUUGUGGGGUAGCUGUAGGACAUGCAACUGUAUUUAGAAAGGGAGAGAGUUGGGAGACUUUGUGGGAUUAUUAAAUUUCCCUUUAGCAUUUGUAGAGGGCAUUCCAUUAAAUACGCCAAUGGUUUUAUCAAACAGGUUGUUUAAAAUCAUUUUCCU